UACGGAGGGUGCAAACGUUGCUCGGAAUCAUUGGGCGUAAAGCGCACGUAGGCGGCUCAGUAAGUCGGGUGUGAAAGCCCUCGGCUCAACCGAGGAAGUGCAUUCGAAACUACUGAGCUUGAAUACUGGAGAGGAUCGCGGAAUUCCCGGUGUAGAGGUGAAAUUCGUAGAUAUCGGGAGGAACACCAGUGGCGAAGGCGACUUACUGGACGAUUGUUGACGCUGAGGUGCGAAAGCGUGGGGAGCAAACAGG
rnacentral:rRNA from 1 species